GACGAACCGUACGAACGUUAUUCGGAAUCACUGGGCUUAAAGGGCGUGUAGGCGGGCAUGCAAGUCAGGCGUGAAAUCCCUGGGCUCAACCCAGGAAUUGCACUUGAAACUGCAUGUCUUGAGUAUCGGAGAGGAAAGCGGAAUUCCUGGUGUAGAGGUGAAAUUCGUAGAUAUCAGGAGGAACACCGGUGGCGAAGGCGGCUUUCUGGACGAUAACUGACGCUGAGACGCGAAAGCGUGGGGAGCAAACAGG
rnacentral:rRNA from 1 species